rnacentral:rRNA from 1 species
GACCUCGUAUCAGGUAGGAAUACCCUCUGAACUUAAGCAUAUGAUCGCCGGAGGAAC